rnacentral:rRNA from 1 species
AUGGGCCUCGAUGUCGCGGAAAUCUCUGAAUUGGCGGCGCUCCGGCCGAUCCAGACGGCCGUGAGCGGCGCCCGGGCCACGUCAGUACCGGGGGAGGACGACGGCACUGCCGUUGCCGACACCGGCUGCGUCACGCCGACGGCGAGCGGCGCGCAAUCGGCCAUGGCAGGGGGAGUCGACGACGACGACGCAGCCGCCGACACUGGCUGCGUCACGCCGAGGUCGAGCGGCUUCAUGGCCAUGCUGCCAAUUGCGCCAGUGCAGCAAGACGACGGCGCCGAAGUCGGCUUCGCCACACCGCUGGCCACGGGUGGAGUAAUUGAGCAGCGAGACGGCUGCGCCGCUGCGGGCGACGAGAACAGCUUCACCACGCCGACCACGGCCGACAGCGCGCUGUUGCCGGCGACGGUGUGCCCUCCGGCGCCGCGGAAGUCGGCGCCGGUCCCGACGAGGAAGCGGGCGCCGCUGCAGCAGCGGCUCUUCUUCUACCCGGUGCCGCACGACCUGACCACCGUCUUCGUCGCCGUGCCGCAGUGCGCGCCACCCGCCAAGAAGAUGCGGGCGCACGUGGUGGAGUCAUCUGUGCCUCUAGGCACCACUUCACACGCUGACACGCAUGCUGCUGCUGCGCGCCAUUGUCGCGACCGCGAGUGGACGAAGGAGCUCUUCAGAGAAGCGGAAGCGAGCAAGUCCAUACACGAGCAAGGGCUCUCGAGCUCGAGCGGACGAGCGCACAGACAAGAUGUUGUAGUUGAAUCACUCAACUCCCUUCGGCUCCUCUGA